rnacentral:lncRNA from 1 species
UCAAUGAAUUCAGAUUUGGUUAAGAUUUUCUUCUCCUGAGUCAUAAUUUUUAACCUUCUUAAUUCAUCAUCAUCAGCCACUGACCUUUGUUUAAUGCUGUUGGCCAAAAUAGAGAGUUCUGUUGUCUUUUCGAGUAAAAAGUACAGUAAAAGUGUUUUAUACUCUGGAUUAAAAAACUUUACCUGAACUUGUAACAUGCCACAGUAACAGUAAGAGAUAGUUACUAUACAGUUUAUAACUGAUAAUUUAUUUGCUUUUUUUUGUGAUCAGCUGUGAAUGGUCAUGGUCUGGAAAUCCGGGGUGGCAACCACCAAAUUACAGUGAGUUCUGCUACCAACUUUAAGUUGUUUGGAAGAAACAAAGGAAAACAGCAAUUCUGGAUUUGCAUUGGCUGAUUUACCAUUCCCUAAGGGAGAUAGAGCCAGAAUCUGGGACUGACACCCAAUAUAGAGCAGGAGAUACUUCGAGCAGCCAGCAUGAAAGGAGGCAAAAAGCCAAGUGGCAGGAUAUCUGCUGAGAAAGCUGAGAAGAUGACAGUCUCACAGGAGAAGAGGGAAGACAGCAGGGCUCAUUUGCACAACUCUGAAUGAUUAACUAUGAAGAUUCUUAAGUCAAAGAAGAUUCUUAAGUCAAAGAAGAUUCCAGGUUCUGCAGCCCCUCCUGUGCUGUAUUGGAUCCAUGGCUGCUGAGGUUCUAACAAAGAAAAGAAAAAAUCAUACUCCAUUUCUAAUUAAAGAAGUAAUUUUCCUUUGCAAAUAGACUUUUUAUCUCAGCUGCUGUGUUAAGGAUCAAUGGGUUGUCACAUGUAUGUCUUUUUAAUAAAUGUCAGCUGAGAUGACA